UGCUUUUGAUUUUUCUUUUUCCUUUUUCGAAACUUUAAGUUUUUAGUCAAUAUUUUAUUUUAUGAUUGUUGUGUUGAACAUCACUGCUAAAGCACUUUUUUGCAACUACAUUGUUAGUGUCUUUACUCUGACUGCAUUUGUUAUUGCAGCAAAACGACGGUCCAUCUGGGGAAUAUGGUGGUUCCGAGGAGGGCUACGGUGGAUGGAAACAAUCGUCUUACGCAGAGGAGUAGGGCUAGUUUGGAUUGGAAGAACCAUCUUACCAGGAAUAACCUUGUGAUUUACAGUGUAAUGUAUGAUGUUCAUUUAGCUGCCUGGUGUUGGCUUGAGAAAAGAGAAGGAGCUUCAGUCAUGUGGGAAGUUUCCUUUUGGUGUGCUUUUGUGCCUCAACUUGUUUUUUAUAUUAAUUAGACUGAAAUAACCUGUCAGUUUUAGUAAUGGUGAUUGCUUUCAUCUCUGCUUUUACCCUCUCUCCUCAUUACACUUAAUCUCCAUGAUUAGGAGCAUAAUCACACUAAUGUCGGUUUGUUCCUACCCAAAUUCAAUCCAAUGUAAACACCUGGCGUGUGCUUUUGAGUGUUUUUGGUUUACUCAACACAAUUCUUAACAAACAAGUUUUUAAUUAGCAUACACCAAAUCAUCCAUUAUAUAAUAAUUUGUUAUGCAUGUUACCACUGGGUCAAAAUGGCCAGCCUAUUUCCUUCAAAUUCAGUUCAACAAUCAAAGCCAACAAUAAAAUUCAAUUGAAAAAAGUUUCCAUCAAACCCAGGGAAACCUCAUUACUCCAUAAAGCUCCUCAAGUUGUGGGAUCAAUCUUUUCAUUUUUUCAAGUAUUCAACGAUCACAUUUUUAUAUGUUUUUUUUGUUCAAAGAAGCGUGAAGACGGUACUUGAAUUCUUGUCAAUGGUGUAAUUAUAAAUACUCUUUACUGUAUGGCCCCGUUUAAAGAUUACAUCUUCUAAGUUCCAUAUAUUCAUCUUAGGCGCACGCAAUUAAACUCUUGUUCGUAUAAAUUUGAACUCAAAAUCUUUUCUAACAAAGUGGUGGCUACGUCUUGGUUGGCUAGGCUCAUAUAUGAUGUGAUCAGAAUGUUGUGACUAGGCUCAUAUAACAUGCCACAUUAUGGAAACCAACUGAACACGUCAAUCCCUGUUCAGCUUCAGACAUGCUUGGUAACUGGUAACCGGUAACUAGUAACCAGUAACCGCUAUGCUAAGAAAGCUAUUUAAAUAGUUGACAGGCAAAUGAUUUCUUCUUCAUAAGUCGUUUCAGCUCAGAAAACUGCAACUUGUUAACUGUUCUCUCUCUUUUCUGUGGAUUUCAAUUUUCAUCCGAUCCAAACAUGCCUCUGGGAACGCUUGAAGUUCUUCUUGUUGAUGCCAAAGGCCUCGACAACAAUGAUUUUCUCGGUAACUCUCUCUCUCUCUCUCCCUCUGUGCCUGUGUUAAGGAUCUUCGAUCUCCCAGCCGAUCAUUUACUGUAUGAUUUGUAGAAACAUUUAUACAAGAGAAAUAAUUUAUGGGUUGCUUCCUGCUUCACCCUUUUGUGGAUCUAAACUCCUUGCUAGCUUUGUCUUAUCUGAGUCAAUGCUUUUGCCUGAUUUUUCUAGGCUUGAUGACCCUGUUUUCUCAUGUGUCUAUAAAUAUGUAUGAUUAUGUGGGUCAAAAGUUGAAUCUUUGAUGCACUAACUAACCAAAAACAAAAGAAUCCAUGAAAGUUCUGAGUCACUUUUGCAUAGAUCCAUAGUAAGUUUAAGUUAAGGACAAAGGAUCUAUCUACUUCUGACAAUGGGGGUGCUUGGAUUUACUUAUGACUAUGCUAAGUUGAAUCAGGAAAUUGUUUUUUGGGGCAACAGAAUUGAUAUUUGGAUCCACAAAGAAUUUGAUAUAAAUCUGUUCUACUUUUUAAUCUUUCUGCUUUAAGUUUCUGAAUUUGCUAAUUAUGUAUGUGUGACAUGGGUUGAAUGCUUUAUGAGCAGCUGACAUGGAUCCCUAUGUCCUUUUGACUCUAAGGACCCAAGAGAAGAAAAGCAAUGUGGUCUCAGGUACAUUUCUACUUCUAGCCAUCUUCAUCUUUUGUGCACAUCUCCCCUGCAAUAAAAUUGUGUAACUUUUGGAAGGACAAUGGCUUAAAUUGGUGCCUGCAGUUUUCAAUGAAUUGUGUUAAAAAAAUUGUACAUGCAGGGCAAGGAUCUGCACCAGAAUGGAAUGAAACCUUUGUAUUUACAGUCUCUGAUGAUGUCUCCGAACUUCAUUUGAAAAUAAUGGAAAAGGAUAAUUUCAGCGCAGACGAUUUUGUUGGAGAAGCAACGUGAGUAUUUUUCUUUUUUCGGAUCCUUUAAUUUGUAUAUGGUUACUCACUCGAAAGUAAUUUGCAGCCCUCAGAAACUAGGUUUUGAGUUCUAACAGUUCAACCAGUGAUAUAUUCUCUGGUGAAAAGAGUGUAAUUUAUACUUUCAUGCCUAACUUAUCCAUGGCUGUUUGCAGCAUUUCAUUAGAGCCCAUUUUCACUGAAGGUAGCAUUCCACCAACUGCAUAUAAUGUUGUAAAUCAGGACAAAGAAUACCGUGGAGAGAUUAAAGUUGGACUCAGAUUCACUCCUGAGCCUGAGGUGCUCUCAAUUUUUUUUUUCCUCUUUUGGAACUUUAAAUUUGUAGUCAAUGUUCUAGUUUAUGAUUGUUGUGUUCUAUUUUAUGUUCUAUUUGCUACAUUGUUAGUGUCUUUACUCUGACUGCAUUCGUUGUUGCAGCAAAACGAGGGUGCAUCUGGGGAAUAUGGAAGAAACGACGGUCCAUCUGGGGGAUAUGGAAGAAACGACGGUCCAUCUGGGGAAUAUGGUGGUUCCGAGGAGGGCUAUGGUGGAUGGAAACAAUCAUCUUACGCUGAGGAGUAGGCUAAUUUGGAUCGGAAGAAUAAUCUUACCCGGAAUGACCUUGUGAUUUACAGUGUAAUGUAUGAUGUUCAUUUAGCUGCCUGGUGUUGGCUUGAGAAAAGAGGAGCUUCAGUCAUGUCAGAGGUUUCUUUUUGGUGUGCUUUUGUGUGCCUCAACUUGUUUGAUUGCUUGAAAUAAUCAGUCAAGUUUACUGUUUCUGAUUGCUUUGUAUUUGCUUUACCUCAUAAUUAUCCCCAAUCUAUAAAGUAGGGUAAUGAAUCAUCUGGUUCAAUCUAAUCUAAAAAUAAAACCAUGUUGGUUUGCUUUACCUCUUGAUUUUAUUGUUUGCUAUCCAGUAUUGAUACUCAACCUAGAAUUUUAAUAAAUAAGUUUUAUUCUACAUAUUAUCAUUGGAUCAGUUCAGUUCAAUGUUGAAGAACCUAAACUGUACUACUCAAUUGAAUUGCUGUGACACAUUUAAAAUCUAAUCCAAACACUUGGAUUGGAUUGGAUUGAAAAAAUGACCUCUCUUUUGGUUUCAAUGAAAAAAAACAAAAGAGUUAAAAUAAUCAAACCAAACAAAAAAAAAAUACUCGGGAAUUAACAAAACUGGAAAAUGCAUUAAGAAACCAGCAAAUAGCAUUACAGUGCCAAAGGAGUCUUCCAAAAAAAAAAAAAAAAAUUACGGUGCUAAAAGAGUUAUACCAAAAAGUUAAAACCCAUGAAAAAUGAACAAUAGAGUUUUGAAUCAGAAAGAGAAACAGUUAUUCAUUGAAGGCUUCUUGCCUAAUCGGGUCUUCCAAUGCUUCAUGGAGGCGAGCUUCGAUGUUCGUGCCCGUAUCAGUGCUCUCUACUGGGUCAGUGCUUCCCUCCAAGCUACUGCUAUCCUCACCUGGACGAGACGAUGCAAUUGAUAAAACACAAGUAAGAACCAACACAAUCACUACCAAGGGAACCAACGGUUCAACAACAAUGCAUUUUAACUGAAAGAGUUUUGUUUCUUCUGCAGCAAUCAAAGGGCACCAUUAUAAUGCUAGUUAUAUAAAAGUGAAAACCAACAUAGUUUUUUUCUUAAUGUAUCACGUGAUAUUUAACUCAGGUAUCUUCAAGUUUGAUUGCAAGUCAAUUUUUACGAUAUAUGCAAAACCUUCAGAACAAAUUAAAGGGUCCUUGCCCAACUAUAAACAGCAGUGUAUGAUUAAUAUGCUAUUCAAAAUAAACUAUUUCUUAAAAACUUACUAAAGUGAGAGACAAAGGUUUCAAACAUUUUCCAGUUCAGAUAUUUACCCUGAUCCAAAGGCAGUGGCCUAGAGCUCUGACCCAAAAGCUUUCUUCUAGCUCCAGAGCUAGGUCGGGUCCUCCUUGGUAUGAAGCCAGCUUUCUUCCGAGUCUUAUUGCUAUUAAAAUCCUACAAGAGGAUGUAUGAGUAAAUCAAUGUCUGAUAGUAUAGCAGGGCCUUCUACAUAUAAAAGGGAUUAUGUAAUUCAAUUGGAGAAAGGUAUCCAUAAAUAACAAAAGAAGAGAAAGCCAGCAAGUCUCUUUUCCAGAUGUAUUAUGAGUGGUAAUAUGAAGGAGGUUCCCUUUCCAAAUAUAUUUUAACAGUAAAUGGAACUUUUCAAGGUAGCAAUGUAUAUGUAAAAUAUAUGAGAGACAUGAAAAAUUGCAGAAGACAACGAAUCUAAAUAAAUUAGAGAAGGAAAGCAAGAAAGAUCAAACUCACUGGGGCAUAUAUUGAAAGCUUGGCCUCCUUGGCAUAGUUCACAUAUCGCAUAAGAUCUUCGUAAGUGAAAAAGUGCUGUCCAGUUGCUGGACACCAGUAGCACUGUAACAGCCAAACAUUAAAUCAAGAAAUCACUCAGUUCCCAAACCAGUUGAAACAUCAGGAUGAAUACAAACAUUUAAGACUCAUCAUUUUAGUUUUCACAAAAAUAGUAUUUCUUUCCAAAUAGAAUUAGUUUUCAUCUUUUAAGCCAAGUAAUGGGCAAACUGUAUACUGCUGUUUGAUCUCAGGUAAACAUGCCAUAGUCAAAAGUACUGAUUAGGCUAAACAUGCCAUAUCAAAUAUUCAAUCCAUAAACUGGUAAGGAAAACCCAAAUAACUUGACAAACAAUAUUUAAUCUUUUACCAUCAAAAGGUAUAAAGCGCUCACGCAUUAGCAAGCACAUGAGCAGAAGAUGACAUACAUUUAUGCAUACUUAUGGAAAAUGCCGGACUAAAGAUUCCUUUAACAUGGAUAAAAAGAUCUUCCUAUAUUUGUUAUAAAACAAUAAGGAAAAGCUUCUGUUCAUUAACUGUCAACAAUUGGUGACUUGGAAGCCUAGCCUCCUGUGACUACACUACAGGAUACAUUACUUAAAACUCCACUUACGGCUACCUUGAAGAGUGAUUAAUAAAAAAAAAAACAGAAAAUAUAAGGCUAAAGCUGCACUAUUACAUUCCUUUUCAAUCCAGAAAGGCAAGUUUACAUUCAAUAAGAAUACAAUCAAACACAGUGCCACCGAACAUUCAAGAAGCAAUCCAACAUGGAUGUUUCAAUUAGAAGGAUAAAUUAUUGCACAAUAGAUUUAAAACCAAAUCAACUAAGUCAAUCUAACACCAAAGAUAAUAUCCACUUCCCAAUUGAUUAAGCUUAUGCAGGUGAAAACUUUGAUUCUAAUACAUGAGAUUACAUCAAUUUUCCACUGAUAAAACACAAUAAGAUCAUUAUUAGAGAAAUUAAUGAGAUUUGUGUUAAGUAAUGAAAUAAAUGAGAUUUCGGUUAAAUAUAAAAUAAAUGAGAUUUCAACUACUCGGAGUUGAUAUGAAUAAUGUGCAAAAUGAGAAUUACAUCAGCUAAGGCAAUCUACCAUCAAAACUGAAACCCAUUACAGCAGUAAUGCAAAUCAUGCAUGUGUAGAGAAUAUUGAUUAAAACACUUCAGAACUAGAACAGAACAAGAAAAUCAAUAGAUAAAGAACAGAGCCUGGGAAUCAUGUGUGUAUUUACCGAGGAUGUGGAUCCGUCCUUUCGGACCUCACUCUUGAACUUCCACCCAUCAGGAAUUGGAGUGUCGGAAGGCUUAUCUCCCAUGGUUGAGAAUGAUUAUCUCCUUCAACAAUGGUCUAAAAAAUCUCUCCCUUCUACCUCCACCCUGCUUGAGGGUCCUUUUAACCCUAAAACUUCGAUGCAAACGAGGCAUUAAAGGGAUAAUUCUAGAAAAGGAAAAGAUGCCUCCAAGUCCACGUGUUUCCAUCCACCAGUGUGUUCUGUCAAGGAGCCAAAACGUAACUGCAAAUAAAGAGAAUUAAUUCUUCCCUACGAAUAUAAAAGAACAACUGGAAAUGACAAACCGGACAGCGCACAUUCAUGUAUCAAGAAAACAAGAAAACAGCGCACCAUUAACAAGACAAUAGAAACGCUCAAAGGCAGGAUGAAUGCCAGAUAAAAGCAAAGUAUUAACAAAAACAAAUCGCCUUAGCAUUUCAGAGCUAAUCUUCAAUUUUAAUUUUUAAUUUUUAACUUUUGGGAUAAGAUCAGAGAUCAAGAUCAUCUUGAUUAGAUCCUCAAUGUUCCCCUUUAUAAUCAAGAACAAGGAAAUUAGUUCCAGGGAAUCUAAAGUUCUUAAUCUCUAUUUUCCUAUUCUCCCUCAAGGUAAACCAAUAAUUAUAACUUUGAAACUGUCACGUGUUUUGCCUUUUUGACAUUUGAUUUUAAAAUUUCAAGAACUAUGUGCUGCAACACCAAACAAGCAUAUAAUGAAAACAAUAGGGAUAACAUAUGAGUAGCUUAAUGAUACACAACAACAAUAGAAUCCAUCAAUGUCAGAACACAUUUGAGUUCUUACACACACUUGUUUAAUAGCAUUCCUUACACACACUUGAAUUCAGACCUUCCCAUCUCUUUGCUUUCAAGCUAGCUAGUAACCUAUUGAAUGAGAUACAAAAUCCUUUAACAUUUAUGAAGUUCUGAAUAGUAAUUACUGUCACUCUUAACAGCCCAAUAUUAUAUAAAACCAAUCCAAAAUAUACAAUCACUUUCAUAAUUGCUGUAUUGAUUUGAAUUUCCACAACAUACACACACAAAAUAAAAUUCCUUGUCCCAAGAAAUAAAAAUGAGUUGAACAUGGCAUCAUAAAGAAGAUAAGAAUUAAGAACUAAAUACUGGAUGUUAAAAAGCCUAAGAUCAAUACCAUUUUCCCCCAAUUGGAUUAAUAUAACUCUACCAUAAGUGGCAACAAAUAGACCCAACUUGACAAAAAAUAUACAAUCAUACAAUCUAACAGAAUGAAAACAAUGCAAUAUCUUACAAUAAACACCAAAUUAGAAAAUAAUAUUCUUCCCAAAAAAUUUACAUUUUGGAGCCACAAGCGGAGAAUGUUUAAAAAUUUAAACUAUUUCCUUUAUUGAACUAAAAACUCUAUUUUUUUUCCUUUCUCAAACAAUUAGGAACCGUCGCUCACCAUUUCUCAGCAACCAAACAGAAACAAGCAACAACAACAAAGGUAAAUAACUUCAUAUUCUGACUCUGCCUGAUUUUAAAGCAAAGCGUUCAGUUCUACCUUCGAAUUUCUUCUCCUGCUUCUUCAUCAUCAUCAUGUACUGCGAGCUCAGAGAGAUUGCUCCGUAGCUUUGCUGUGAUGCCAGUCCCGCGGCGUCGUUUUACGAAACCGAGUAAAAGACUUUCCGGCCGAAGACGAUUUUCCCGGAAAAUAAAGUAAAGGGCUAUUUCCUGUUUGGCUCGGUGGAAAAUUAAAGCCAGGAAACGAUGGUGUCUGUUGCAUUGGCAUUUUAAUAGAACGAUCGUCGUAGAAAGAAAAGUGUCGUAUACGCUCGUAUUUGGGACUCAACUCCCACACCAGUGGCAAAUUUCCUGUUUAUUUAAUAAUAUGCAAAUUUAACGGUUCACUCACUCUUGCACUUCUUUUAAUAAAUUUUUUUGAAUUAUUGGAUUAAUAUUCAAUGGUGGGUGACCACAAUUUCUUGGACUCCUGUGGUCCAAAAGAUCGAGACUGUAUACAUACAACACAUAUAUAAUACAAGUAUUAAAUGUGAAAGUAUUCAAUUCUUUACACGAAUAAUAACUAGACUAAUAACUAGUUAGUGUGUAUGAUUGUAACCUUUACCUUGUCAAUUUGAGUUUGGAUUAUGUUCUAACCAUCGUUGAUUAGUAAUUCUGAUAUAAAGGGUUAAGAAAAUAUUGCAAUAUACACACUAAUAUUUUGAAAAUUUUGUGCUUACGUAAUAGUAUAGACAGGUGGCUAUACUUGGUUUUUUUAAAUUUUUUUUAAAAAAUAGUAUAGCCAUGCGGCUAGAUUUAUUUUGACACGCUAGCGCCUAACCCUGUUUCCUCCCAUAUAUCUUUUGACAUGUGUCAUAUGACAAACAUAAAUUUAAAACUGUUAACAAUAUUUCAACACUCGAGUGAUGUUUCCUUGAGCCAUAUGAAAUUUCCAAGCUUUACCUUGUGGGUUUUUCUGAUUGAUCAAUUCUUGGUCUUUGCAGUGCUCGAGUGAUGUUUCCUUGAGCCAAAUCUUUAAUAUGGAAGCACUUUCUCUAUGUGUGUUUGAGGGUGUCUUGAAGCAAAUGCACCCGGUGAGGUGGCGAGUCUGAUGAAUGGGCGUGGUGGUGGAGAUUAGAUAUAAAUUGGGUGUCCCAUCAUCCUAUGGAGGCAUAAACAAACCCAUGGCGGAUCUGAUGAACUUGGGGUUUGGAGGAGAAAGAACAAAGACAAUGCUCCCUUUUUGCUGAAUGAAAUAGAUGAGGCGAGGAAAUGGGGUUUCUUUUUUUAAAUAAAUUUUAUUAUAUUGAAAUAAACAGUGUUAAAUUUCUGUUAAGUCAUGGAACACAUGUCAAAAAUAUAAGAAGGAAAUAGGGAGGCACAUGGGAUUGGGUAACAGAAAAAUUGGACUCAUUUUUUAUAUAUAUAAAUCGUAUAGCCGAUCGGUUAUAACCCUUAUUCUGAUUUGUUUUGUGAAAAUAGUAUAGCCGUACGGCUAUACCGUUUUUACACGCGGGCACCUAAUCGCACUGGGCUCCUCCAUUUUUACAUGUAUAAAUAGUAUAGCCGCCUUCGGUUUUUCUUAUUUUUCCUUUUAAAAAUAGUAUACCCGAUUUUUUCCUAAUUUUUUGGUAAAAAUAGUAUAGCCGCACGGCUAUAUCUCAAGAGUUUUUGUUUAUGUAUCAAUAGUAUAGCCGCUCAGCUAUACGCCCUUUUUUAUUUGUUUUAAAAAUAGUAUAUCCGUGCGGCUAUACGCCAUUUUUUAAAAUUUUGUUUACAUUUUUUUUUUUUUACAUGUGCGCACCUAAUCGCAUAGGGGUUUUUUUUUACAACCCUGUUUUUCUUUAUUUUUAAAAAAUAGUAUAGCCGCUCGGCUAUACUGUUUUUGACACGUGGCACCUAAUGGAAAGGGGGGUCCUCUAAUUUUAUUGUAUAAAUAGUAUACACGGUCAGCUAUACCCGAUUUUUUAUUUAUUGUUUUUUAUAAAUAGUAAUGCAAUCUAUAAGACUGUUGCCAUGUUUCAUUACAGGGAAGUUAAAUACCACUGAAAGUAGCAAUAUGACAUCAGAUAAAUUUAAAGAAUAUAGGAAAGAGGAUAUCAACUAAUAAUCAAAAGUUUGGUGUGACCGCAGAAAGGUGUCCAUUCCAAAAUAUCUGAUAGAUACGCUUAGGCGACAAGAAAUUUUCUGAACAAAAUCAUAAUCAGACUAUUAGUAGUCCAUCCAUAUGCACUUUUAGAAGAUCCACUGGCUUUUUGUGGUAUAGUUGAUUAGAGAUGCUUAUUGUUGUCAAACAAUGGAGACUUUUUUGCUCAUCUCUUAAAUCAAUUGUUCUUUCAUAUUUUUAUGAAAAAUUUGAAUGGCAGUACUCAACAACUAAACAUCUUUAUCAAAUGAUUUGGCAGGUUGAAAAUCAAGAACCCACUCUGGAAUUCUGGAAGAGAUCGCUAAACCCUUUAACAUGGACAGAAAUACUGUGUCAAGUACUGGUUGCCGCUGGUUUUGGUUCAAAGCAAGGUGCAAGGCGAAGGGAUGCCCUUAGCAAGGUCUUCUAAUUCAACUCCCAUGGUUGCAAUUGAUUUUUCUAAGCUCCAUUUCCUUUCUAGUAAAUGUAUUUAAUUAUCAACACAUCUGUAUUCUGCAAGUUAAGUGCUAUAGAUGCCCAAUAAUAUGUGUUCAUCACCCAAAACCUUGAGCAUUCAAAGCCUUAUUGGCAAUAGUCAUUUAAGAUCUGUCAUUACCCCGAAUAAUCUGUUUCUACCUUAAGGCAAAGCCCCAGUUGGAUAGGUUCAUUUUCCAUACUUAAGGACCAAAUCAGAAAUUUUAGGUUUUACAUAUAACAUGUAGUGAUUGAAUGUUAAAGGAAAUAGUUUCUUCAGUUUUGUUUGUUGGCAUUAUCGUGCAUUCCUAAAUAACAUCUGUUGAGCAUAUGUUUAUUUGCUUUAAUGACUAGACAUGCGCAAGAGCCUUUAUUGUGGUUUUAUUUACGUUCUACAAUUAAUAAGCUUUAUCUAUUGUUGCAUAAACCUAUCUAUAAAUGUGAAAUUUGGUUUUUCCAAUUGAAUCUUCUGUUAUCUAGGAAAUGAGCCUUAUGGUGAAGUAUGGUUUACGUCCUGGUACUUUAAAGGUUGAAUUGUUUGGAGUUCUGCUAGAGCAAGGAAUUCAUAUGGGUUGAAAGUUUCUGAGUUGGCGAAGUCAUUGCAGAUAAUUUUCUUGAAAAUAUUGUUAUCAUAAUCUCUCAUGUGAUAUUACACUUGAAUUAGUGCUGGACUUUGUUUUUGUUUUGCAGGUUUCUGAAUUGAACCUCCAUUGGAAUAAAGUAACUAGAGUCUUUAAUUGGUUCUCUUUCAAGUGAUAUUACAUUAUUUGAAAAGAUUUCAUCAUCCACAUAUCGUGUGCGUAUUAAUUCUUCUGAAAAGAAAGUGGAGGAAUCCCAAUCAGAUACCGAAGACUCUGGAGCAGUUGAUGAUGACCUCGGUGACAGUGGUACAUGUAGCAGUGAUGAUGAUUAUGGGUGCAAUUCAGGAAAUUCCAAAAUUAAAAAGCUGACUUAUAUGUACCAUGGCAAACUUAAAGAUAACAUGGUGAUAGUAUAACACCGAAAUUGAUGAGAGCCAUCCAGGAGAAGUAUAGUUGUUAGCACUGAUGGAAGGCGAAGAAUAUUUAAAUUUAAGCAUUGAAGAAAAGUUGAGCGCAAUAGUGGCACCCAUUGAUCUUCUUCAUGCAGGUUCUAGUUUCAGAAUGGAGGUAACAUAUAGAAUCUUUGCAUGGACAUUAAAACCUUUUCUUUGUUUUUAUUUUUCCCACUACUAUGAGGUUGCCCUAUUAAAUGGAACAUAUUCAGUCCUUUGUAAGAUAAUAUCAUCUGAAUUGUGUAAACUACAUUAUAUAUAAAAAUACUUUGACAGUAAAUAUUAUUUGAAUAUUCAAUGAGAUUCAAGUAGCCGUAAUUAUUACGGUGGUUUAUAAGUUUAACAUUUUCGAACCUUGAUAUUAUACGACUUUUACUUUUGUAUUUUCUGCAUCCUUGAUUUUUUUUUUUUUUUUAAUAAAAAAACUGCUAAAAAAAGUUACUUUUUUUUUAGUAUAGGGCCAUUUUAAUACAAUGUUUAAGCCCAUUUUACAAAACCCAACCCGUUAGUAAUAUUAAAAAUUAGGUUAGAUGUCUUCUUCUUCCCAGCGUAGCCUACACCCUCUCGCUGUUUCAACUUCAUCUCUCUCUCUCUCUCUCGGUCUUUCUUCAUGCAGCGCCUCAGUGCCACCUUAAGCGUCGACGCCUCAACGGCAAAACGCCAGCCCAGACCAGCCCAGGCGGCCUAGGCGGGUGCUAGGCGGGCGCUAGGCGGCCUAGGCGGGCGCUAGGCGGCCUAGGCGGGGCUAGGCGGCCUAGGCGGCCUAGGGGGCGCCCUACUCCCUGGCGGCUACUCCUUACGAUUAGGAUGAAAUUGCGGCGGUGUCGUCCCGCCUAGCACCUUGAAUGUAUCGGUGUGAAAGGCUGAUCAAAGCUAUGCACCUUGCAUAGGAAAUUGACUUCCGAAAGAUUCUCUCCGGUGACACGUAAACACGUGUUAUGCUAUCACUUCCAUAGUAAAUAUAAAUUUAACCUGUCGUUUAAUGAAGUUGAAUUACAAUAUGAGAGAGAAGAAAAAACAAGUUGAAUUCCAAUAGCUGUUAAUUGAAGAAGUUUCCCAAAUAAUUGAUGGCCUCAUUCUCAUUUCAUUCAUCUCUCUGCAUAAUUUCAUGUUGAUGCUUCUAAAACAAAUUAAAGCAUGGAGUGGAGUUUCUCACAUGGCUCCUGGUAACAUCCAUAACACCAGGGAAGCCACAGAGGGCCAUAGUGAGCUCAAACUCAUCUUUCAGCAUUUCGAUAACCCGUCUCACGCCGCGUUCUCCGUUUGCUGCAAGGCCAUAGAUUACAGGCCUUCCAACCUGCAGCAACGUUAGCCUGUAUUUCAAUAAGAAAAUCCAAAACAAUACAAGCAGUGUAAGGGUUCAUAUCAGAAGGGCAGCUUGUGUAGAUAUAGAUAUCUUACAAGGACAGCUUGUGCACCCAAGGCUAAUGCCUUGAACACAUCUGUUCCUCGCCUUACUCCUCCAUUAAGCAGAACAGGAACUUUUCCUCCAACAGCAUCAACUACCUGAGAACAUUAUAGAUAUAUAUGAUUGAACAUUCUUACAACUUUUCCAAUGGGAGAGUUUCUUUUAAAGACUCCUUUUUCCUCGAGAUCCUAUUUCGGUUUUAUCCAUGCUUAGCCAUGCGUAAGUUAGGCCAUGUUUGUGCUUACAGUACAGGUUACACCAGAAAACAAUGAAUUAGAAAUAGAAUUCUACCUCUUCCAGGACAGAAAUGGUGGUGGGAGUAUAAUCUAGUUGGCGGCCUCCAUGGUUGGAGACAACAAUCCCAGCAACACCUACUUCCACAGCCUUUCUUGCUGAAAUGGUAGAAAGAACACCUAUUCAGAAGGGCUAAUGCCAAAUUUGACUUCAAGUGUCAAUAAAAUGUAUUUCACCGAGUCGAUUAUUUUGACUGAUCAUCAUGCCUUGAAUACCGGGAGAAGUUAACAUUUACGAGACCUUUUUCCUUUUUACACAAAUUGAUCUUUCCCUUUAUGAGUUAAUACUUACAAGACGUAAAGAUAAAGAUACGAUUAUUUGGAGCCUUGAUCAGUUCAUCUUACCAUAACUUCAUGAGUGAGUACUCCCUUGAUCAGAAUUGGCAAGUUUGUAAUAGAUUUCAACCACUCUAUGUCCAUACGCGAUGCAAUAACUAAAAAUUUAAGAAGAAAAGAAUGUUAGUGUUUUGAGUUUGUGAAUGGAGAGUGACGAAGGAGAGAAGGAACGAGAAGAGAAAGAUUGGCAAAAACUGCUCUGCUAUACGUGUAGCAGAGGAAUUUUCAUUUCUAUUCAGUCUCUCAGCCUCACACACUUGGAGUGAGGGAAUAUAACCAUUAGGCACAGAAGCUGGAUCCCUUACAUCACAAGGUGAUCUCAGCUAUUCAUUUAGACAUUCAAUAGGAUCUUUACACUUGGCUUGUAAAAUUAAAGGAAACGAAAAACUGUUUUAACUAACUAAUAAGUCAGCUUAAGAACUUAUAAUUCAACAAAGAAACCAGGUAGCACACAGGCACAGAAAUGAGUAUAAAACUUCACUUUAAUGGAUGUCUUAUAGCCUCAAUCUCUGCAGAAAGUUACAAACUUACAACUGAGUAAAGUCUGUAUAAAUCAUGCAUCUUCAUAGUGUAAUCCCAAAAACAGAAAUAAUAAAAUAAAAUAAAAUAAAAUAGCCUUAGAGUAAAAAGAUCUGUAGCCAUGCGCAGGAGCCUUUAUUUACUUUCUUAUGGUGGUUUUAUUUAUGUUCUACAAUUAAUAAGCUUUAUCUGUUGUUGCAUAAACCUCUCUAUAAAUGGGAAAUUUGGUUUUUCAAAUUGAAUCUUCUGUUAUCUAGGAAAUGAGCCUUAUGGUGAAGUAUGGUUUACGUCCUGAUACAUUGAAGGGUGAAUUGUUUAGAGUUCUGCUAGAGCAAGGAAUUCAUGGGUUGAAAGUUUCUGAGUUGGCGAAGUCAUUGCAGGUAAUUUUCUUGAAAAUAUUGUUAUCAUAAUCUCUCAUGUGAUAUUACACUUGAAUUACUGAUGGACCUUGUUUUUGUUUUACAGAUUUCUGAAUUGAACCUUUCCACUGGAAUAGAGGAACGAGAGUCUUUAAUUGGUUCAACUAUUUCAAGUGAUAUUACAUUAUUUAAAAAGAUUUCAUCAUCCACAUAUCGUGUGCAUUUAAUUCUUCUGAAAAGAAAGUUGAGGAAUCCCAAUCAGAUACCGAAGACUCUGGAGCAGUUGAUGAUGACCUUGGUGACAGUGGUACAUGUAGUAGUGAUCAAGGUCUAAAAUAUCGAUGAUAUCGGAAAUAUCGGUAGUCCAAAAAUAUGGAAAUUUCGAUGGAAAUAUCGGGAUAUUAUCGAUAUCGAUAAAAAUUGAAUAAAAACCACGGAAAUUGUGAGAAAAACUUGGAAAUUUUUAUUGAAACUUUGGAGAAUGUUUAUUUAGUCAAUUUUCUAUGAGUUUAUCACAAAAAAUUAGAAGGAAAUGCAUUGUAUGAUGAAUUUAACUAAUUUAAGUUGAUUACACAGCAAGCGGGCAAACACUAUGAGUGUAAAAAAUAUGUAAUAAUUAAUGAAAAAAGAUUAAAUACACCGUAAUCAUUUAUAUAUAAUGAUUUACUAUAAUAUUUUACACUUUAUACAUUGCAUGGUAAGAUACAUGAAUGACUUAGUACCAUAUAGAGUUCCUACGCGGUUUAAAUUUUUCACUAUCUUCAUCAUUUCUAUGUGUAGAGUAAGUGUAUUGUGAAGAGUAGUCAUCAAAUGAUAAAUCCCCAAAAUAGUUUUGCAUGUAAUUGUUAACAUACCACCCAUAUAAAUAUAAAUAUUUUAGCAUAUUAUCACAAAAACAUAAGUGAUAUGGUGUUUAAGGUGUUGAAGGAGUAAAAUGGGAGGGGUUCAUAUCCCCUUUGUGCUUUUUUCUCCCCUUUUCCCUUUUUUUUUUUUAAAAAAAAAACUUUUUUUUUUCCUUUACAUCGAUAUUUUAGCGAUAUUACACCGAUAUUUUGACAAAAUAUUGCUGAAAUGUGAGCGAAAUUAUCGACAUCGAUAUUUUCAGAUAUUAUCGUCGAUAUUGUCAAUAUUUAUACGAUAUGUACAUGGAUAUGUUCCGAAAUAUCCGUGAUUCGAAAAAACUGAAAUAUCCUCGAUAUUUCAGACUAUGGUAGUGAUGAUGAUUCUGGGUGCAAUUCAGGAAAUUCCAAAAUUAAAAAGGUGGCUUAUAUGAACCAUGACAAAUGUAAAGAUAACAUGGUGAUAGUAUAACACCGAAAUUGAUGAGAGCCAUCCAGGAGAAGUAUAGUUGUUAGGACUGAUGGAUGGCGAAGAAUAUUCAGAUUUAAGCAUUGAAGAAAAGUUGAGCGCAAUAGUGGCACCCAUUGAUCUUCUUCAUGCAGGUUCUAGUUUCAGAAUGGAGGUAACAUAUAUAAUCUUUGCAUGGACAUUGAAACCUUUUCUUUGUUUUUAUUUUUCCCACUACUAUGAGGUUGCCCUAUUAAAUGGAACGUGUUCAGUCCUUUGUAAAAUAAUAUCAUCUGAAUGGUACAAACUGCAUUAUAUAUAUAAAUACUUUGACAGUAAAUAUUAUUUGAAUAUUCAAUAAGAUUCAAGUAGCCGUAAUUAUUACGGUGGUUUAUAAAUUUAACAUUUUCGAACCUUGAUAUUAUACGACUUUUACUUUUGUAUUUUCUGCAACCUUGAUUUUUUUUUUUUAAAAAAAAAACUGCUAAAAAAAGUUUACUUUUUUUAAUAUAGGGCCAUUUUAAUACAAUGUUAAGCCCAUUUUACAAAACCCAACCCGUUAGUAAUAUUAAAAAUUAGGUUAGAUGUCUUCUUCUUCCCAGCGUAGCCUACACCCUCUCGCUGUUUCAACUUCAUCUCUCUCUCUCUCGGUCUUUCUUCAUGCAGCGCCUCAGUGCCACCUUAAGCGUCGACUCCUCAACGGCAAAACGCCAGCCCAGACCAGCCCAGGCGGCCUAGGCGGGUGCUAGGCGGGCGCUAGGCGGCCUAGGCGGCGCCCUACUCCCUGGCGGCUACUCCUUACGAUUAGGAUGAAAUUGCGGCGGUGUCGUCCCGCCUAGCACCUUGAAUGUAUCGGUGUGAAAGGCUGAUCAAAGCUAUGCACCUUGCAUAGGAAAUUGACUUCCGAAAGAUGGUUCUCUCCGGUGACACGUAAACACAUGUUAUUCUAUCACUUCCAUAGUAAAUAUAAAUUUAACCUGUCGUUUAAUGAAGUUGAAUUACAAUAUGAGAGAGAAGAAAAAACAAGUUGAAUUCCAAUAGCUGUUAAUUGAAGCAGUUUCCCAAAUAAAUUGAUGGCCUCAUUCUCAUUUCAUCCAUCUCUCUGCAUAAUUUCAUUUUGAUGCUUCUAAAACAAAUUAAAGCAUGGAGUGGAGUUUAUCACAUUCUGUCCUCACAUGGCUCCUGGUAUUAUCCAUAACACCAGGGCAGCCACAGAGGGCCAUAGUGAGCUCAAACUCAUCUUUCAGCAUUUCGAUAACCCGUCUCAUGCCGCGUUCUCCGUUUGCUGCAAGGCCAUAGAUUACAGGCCUUCCAACCUGCAGCAACAUUAGCCUGUAUUUCAAUAAGAAAAUCCAAAACAAUACAAGCAGUUUAAGGGUUCAUAUCAGAAGGGCAGCUUGUAUAGAUAUAGAUAUCUUACAAGGAUUGAACACACCUGUUCCUCGCUUUACUCCUCCAUCAAGCAGAACAGGAACUUUUCCUCCAACAACAUCAACUACCUGAGAACAUUAUGUACGUGUGACAUAGGUUGAAUGCUUUAUGAGCAGCUGACAUGGAUCCCUAUGUCCUUUUGACUCUAAGGGGUCGUUUGGUACGGCGGACUGUCAUGGACUGGACUAAAUCCUGGGACUGUCUUGGAUUAGCUCGGAUUGGACUAAGCUGGAUUAAGUGCUGACCUACGUUUGGUGCUGCGUCGGACUAAGAAGCUGGAUUGUAAAAAUAGUGAAGACCUAUGUUUGGGACUGUGUCGGACUAAAAAUUCAUUAUUAUAAUAUUUAAAUUUAAUUAAGAAUUUUGACUUGAAAAAUAUUUAUAUUUAAUUAGAAAUAUUUAAUUGGGGCUGAUGUGUGAAAAAAAUAAUUUAGAAUUUAUAAAUUUAUUUUUUUAAAAAAUUAUAUUAUCUUCCUAUACCUUUGCCCUUUCCCAUCUUCAUACUGGAUGUCUGUCUUUCUUUCCAAAUUUUCAAAGGGAAAAACCUAAAAAAGAAGCCAAUUAGCCCCACACCAUAACUUUUCACAAACCAGACCACACCACAAAAUUAAUUUUUUUUAAUUUUUUUUAAAAGGCCCAAGUGUCCAGAACACAAUUGGGAUCUUAUCUCAUCCAUUUCUUCUUCUUUGGCCGUUCUAAUCCCUUUCUUCUUCUUUGGCCAUUACCAGAACGAUGGCUGCACGGCUCCAAUCAGCAGAAGCAGCUGAAAAACAUCUUCAUGCGAUUCGACAUGGACUCUGAUGGCAGCCUCACCCAGCUCGAGCUCGCUGACUUGCUCUGGUCUCUUGGCGUCAAGUCCACCAGCUACCAGCUCCAAGUCACCGCCAUGGAGGUCUUCCAGUCGCUCGAGAGGAAGAGAAUGAGAGUGAAGGCUGCGUUGGUUGGACUCGUGCGUUCAAAAUAGCACACUCUCUAUUUUGUGAACCGCAUUUCAUCCUCGCAAUAUUAAACGAGCGAGUCCGAUGUUUUUUUAACCAACGGACUAUACAAUCCCAUUUAUUUUAGUCCCUCUUUCACCAAACGCUGGUUUCAAAGUGUUAUUUAACACUGUCCUGGCUAGUCCAGCGUACCAAACAUACCCUAAGGACCCAAGAGAAGAAAAGCAAUGUGGUCUCAGGUACAUUUCUACUUCUAGCCAUCUUCAUCUUUUGUGCACAUCUCCCCUGCAAUAAAAUUGUGUAACUUUUGGAAGAACAAUGGCUUAAAUUGAUGCCUGCAGUUUUCAAUGAAUUGUGUUAAAGAAAUUGUACAUGCAGGACAAGGAUCUGCACCAGAAUGGAAUGAAACCUUUGUAUUUACAGUCUCUGAUGAUGUCUCCGAACUUCAUUUGAAAAUAAUGGAGAAGGAUAAUUUCAGCGCAGAUGAUUUUGUUGGAGAAGCAACGUGAGUAUUUUUCUUUUUUUGGGUCCUUUAAUUUGUAUACGGUCACUCGAAAGUACCUUGCAGCCCUCAGAAACUAGGUUUGGAGUUUUAACAGUUCAACCUGUGAUAUAUUCUCUGGUGAAAAGAGUGUAAUUUAUACUUGUAUGACUAACUUAUUCAUGUCUGCAUGCAGCAUUUCAUUAGAGCCCAUUUUCACUGAAGGUAGCAUUCCACCAACUGCAUAUAAUGUUGUCAAUCAGGACAAGGAAUACCGUGGAGAGAUUAAAGUUGGACUCAGAUUUACUCCUGAGCCUCAGGUGCUUUCAAUUUUUUUUUUCCUUUUUUGGAACUAAAUUUUUAGUCAAUGUUCUAUUUUAUGUUCUAUUUGCACCUACAUUGUUAGUGUCUUUACUCUGACUGCAUUUGUUGUUGCAGCAAAAUGAUGGUCCAUCUGGGGAAUAUGGAAGAAACGACAGUCCAUCUGGGGGAUAUGGAAGAAACGAUGGUCCAUCUGGGGAAUAUGGUGGUUCAGAGGAGGGCUAUGGUGGAUGGAAACAAUCAUCUUACGCGGAGGAGUAGGGCUAAUUUGGAUCGGAAGAAUGAUCUUAUCCGGAAUGACCUUGUGAUUUACAGUGUAACAUAUGAUGUUCAUUUAGCUGCCUGGUGUUGGCUUGAGAAAAGAGGAGGAGCUUCAGUCAUGUGGUAGGUUUCUUUUUGGUGUGCUUUUGUGUGCCUCAACUUGUUUGAUGGAUUGAAAUAAUCAGUCAAGUUUACUGUUUUUGAUUGCUUUGAAUUUGCUUUACCUCAUAAUUAUCCCCAAUCUAUUAAGUAGGAUAAUGCAUCAUCUGGUUC
rnacentral:lncRNA from 1 species